rnacentral:rRNA from 1 species
UAAGGAAUAUUGGUCAAUGGACGCAAGUCUGAACCAGCCAUGCCGCGUGAAGGAUUAAGGCCCUCUGGGUUGUAAACUUCUUUUAUAGAGGAAGAAAUGUGACGGUUCUCCGUCACUUGACGGUACCCUGGGAAUAAGCACCGGCUAACGCCGUGCCAGCAGCCGCGGUAAUACGGAGGGUGCAAGCGUUAUCCGGAUUCACUGGGUUUAAAGGGUGCGUAGGUGGGCAGAUAAGUCAGUGGUGAAAUCUUCCGGCUUAACCGGGAAACUGCCGUUGAUACUAUUUGUCUUGAAUAUUGCGGAGGUAAGCGGAAUAUGUCAUGUAGCGGUGAAAUGCUUAGAUAUGACAUAGAACACCAAUUGCGAAGGCAGCUUACUACACAAUCAUUGACACUGAGGCACGAAAGCGUGGGUAGCGAACA